rnacentral:rRNA from 1 species
UGCGGCCUACGGGAGGCAGCAGUGGGGAAUAUUGCACAAUGGGGGAAACCCUGAUGCAGCGACGCCGCGUGAGCGAAGAAGUACCUCGGUAUGUAAAGCUCUAUCAGCAGGGAAGAAAGUGACAGUACCUGACUAAGAAGCCCCGGCUAACUACGUGCCAGCAGCCGCGGUAAUACGUAGGGGGCAAGCGUUAUCCGGAUUCACUGGGUGUAAAGGGAGCGUAGACGGCCAUGCAAGCCAGGGGUGAAAGCCCGGGGCCCAACCCCGGGACUGCCCUUGGAACUGUGCGGCUAGAGUGCGGGAGG